rnacentral:rRNA from 1 species
AUGGCCGCCGCCCCGCCGCUCGCCGCGGCGCUCCUGGCCGUCCUGCUGGCGCUCGCAGCCCCGGCGGCGGCCGAGAUCCGCUCCACGGCGAUCCGGGCCGACCCGCGCACCAUCAUCCCGCUCGACGAGUUCGGCUUCUCCAACCAGGGCGUGCUGGAGCUCAACGUCACCGGCAUCGCCUUCGACCCCCCCGCCUCGCCGGACCUCGACCUCUCCCAGUUCGGCUUCUUCCUCUCCACCCUCGACGCCUGGGUGCACGUCCUCCGCCAGCUCCAGGACCUCGAGGUCACCUGCGCGCUCCAGUCUGACCUCGUCAGGCUCGCCUACUCCUUCGACCGCCUCCGCCCGCCGUCCAACCCCGCCGGCGUCCCGGUCGCCCGCUCCUCCUCCUUCACCUACGCCUUCCACGUCACCGAGCCCGGCCAGUACACGCUCGUCUUCGCCAACUGCCUCGCCGGCGCCGGCGGGGACCUCAGGGUCUCCAUGGACGUCAGCUCCGCCAUGUACAACGUCGACCCGGCCACCGGCCAGCGCGCCUACCUCUCCGUCGGCUCCUCCGCGCUGCCCUCCAUCUACUUCCUCUUCUGCGUCGUCUACGCCGCGCUCGCCGCCGGCUGGGUCUCCAUCCUGCUGCGCAAGCGCACCGCCGUCUUCCGGAUCCACUACUUCAUGCUCGCGGUCCUCGUGCUCAAGGGCUUCAACCUCCUCGCCGAGGCCGAGGACAAGUCCUACAUCGAGCGCACCGGCACCGCGCACGGCUGGGAUGUGCUCUUCUACAUCUUCAGCUUCCUCAAGGGGAUCUCGCUCUUCACGCUCAUUGUGCUCAUCGGCACUGGCUGGUCCUUCCUCAAGCCCUACCUGGCGGACCGUGAGAAGAAGGUGCUCAUGGUGGUCAUCCCCCUGCAGGUAGUGGCCAACAUUGCGCAGGUGGUCAUCGAUGAAUCUGGGCCGUAUGCCCGAGACUGGGUCACCUGGAGGCAGAUAUUCCUGCUGGUGGAUGUGGUCUGCUGCUGCGCCAUUCUAUUCCCGAUUGUCUGGUCAAUCAAGAACCUCCGGGAGGCUGCCCGCUCUGACGGGAAAGCGGCAGUGAACCUGAUGAAGCUCACCCUUUUCCGUCAGUACUACGUGGUUGUCAUCUGCUACAUUUACUUCACGCGCGUUGUGGUGUACGCGCUGGUGACCAUCACCUCGUACCGGUACCUCUGGACUAGCGUUGUGGCUGGAGAGAUUGCCACCCUUGCAUUCUAUGUGUUCACUGGGUACAGGUUCCGGCCUGAGGUGCAUAACCCAUACUUUGCGAUUGAUGAUGAUGAGGAGGAGGCUGCAGCUGAGGCACUCAAGUUGGAUGAUGAAUUUGAGCUAUGA